rnacentral:rRNA from 1 species
GUGCCAGCAGCGGCGGUAAUACGAAGGGGCUAGCGUUGCUCGGAAUUACUGGGCGUAAAGGGCGCGUAGGCGGACAGUUAAGUUGGGGUGAAAGCCCGGGGCUCAACCUCGGAAAUGCCUUCAAUACUGGCUGUCUUGAGUACGGGAGAGGUGAGUGGAACUCCGAGUGUAGAGGUGAAAUUCGUAGAUAUUCGGAAGAACACCAGUGGCGAAGGCGACUCACUGGCCCGUUACUGACGCUGAGGCGCGAAAGCGUGGGGAGCAAACAGGAUUAGAUACCCUGGUAGUCCACGCCGUAAACGAUGAGUGCUAGUUGUCGGCAUGCAUGCAUGUCGGUGACGCAGCUAACGCAUUAAGCACUCCGCCUGGGA